GGGCCAUAGCUCAGUUGUAGAACAUCUGCCUUGCAUGAAGGAGGUUCCAGGUUCAAUCCCUGGGAUCCCCA